UCCGCAUCGCACUCAUCCCCGCCGGCUGAAACAGCUGGAACGUCUGCACACAGGUGUAAAGGAUCCCCUGCAGCUGGAACGUCUGCACACAGGUGUAAAGGAUCCCCUGCAGCUGGUCUAAAUUACCGUACGGGUAAUUCUCUUUCUUUUCUUUUUUGCAGCGCUAAAUAAACUAACGCAACUUUAAAAUCACAGACUUCCCUGUCAAAGUUUCUGCCCCUUUACCGCAGCCACUGUUGCUGCUCAUGUUCACGUCG